rnacentral:tRNA from 1 species
GCCGAAGUGGCGGAAUGGUAGACGCAAGGGACUUAAAAUCCCUCGGAGGCGACUCCGUGCGGGUUCGAGUCCCGCCUUCGGCACCA